GUUCCGGGAAUUGGCCACUACCUCGCAGUCACGUGAUGCCACAAGGCGGGCACGCCGUGCAACAUCCUCUCUUCGUUUACACAUCUCCUCUUGAGAGGAUUGCGUCGUUCCGCCUUGAAUUUCAUAUUUCAUGUGAUGUGACGUAGUGGAACAUUCCUGACG
rnacentral:pre_miRNA from 1 species